rnacentral:misc_RNA from 1 species
GAUGAAGAACGCUGCGAAAUGCGAUAAGUAAUGUGAAUUGCAGAAUUCAGUGAAUCAUCGAAUCUUUGAACGCACAUUGCGCCCCUUGGUAUUCCAUGGGGCAUGCCUGUUCGAGCGUCAUUUGUACCCUCAAGCUUUGCUUGGUGUUGGGUGUUUGUCUCGUGUUACGCGUAGACUCGCCUUAAAGCGAUUGGCAGCCGGCAUAUUGGCCUUGGAGCGCAGCACAUUUUGCGCUUCUAGUCAUGAAUGUUGGCGUCCAUUAAGCCUAUACAUUUGCUCUUGACCUCGGAUCAGGUAGGGAUACCCGCUGAACUUAAGCAUAUCAAUAAGCGGAGGA